CUGAAUUCCGUUCAGUCGACGAAUCAUCUUCAUCGUCACAACACGAACCAAUAAACAAAUGGCUGAAAUUCCGUCGUCUUCCCCAAAAUUAACUCAACCAUCGAACCCUAUAAUGGAUACCACAAACCAAGUAACCGCCGGCGGAGCUGCACCGUCGACGACGUCGUCUAAUCCCGGAAUUACGAUGACUUCUCCUUCUAACAACAAUUCAAUCGCACAAUCGCCUUCAAUUGACCUCCCUCAAAUCCCGUUAGCCCAAUCUCAGCAACAGCAGCAUCAGCAUCAAAUUCAGAUGCCGCAACCUCAACAAAUGCAGCAGCAGCAGCAACAG
rnacentral:misc_RNA from 1 species